GACGAACCGUGCAAACGUUAUUCGGAAUCACUGGGCAUAAAGGGCGCGUAGGCGGCUCCAAAAGUCAGGGGUGAAAUCUGGCAGCUUAACUGUCGCAGUGCCUUUGAUACUGUGGAGCUAGAGGGAGGUAGGGGUCUGUGGAACUUCCGGUGGAGCGGUGAAAUGUGUUGAGAUCGGGAGGAACGCCGGUGGCGAAAGCGACGGACUGGGGCUUUGCCGACGCUCAGGCACGAAAGCCAGGGGAGCGAACGGG
rnacentral:rRNA from 1 species